GGAGGGCAGGCRGYGGAAUGAGCGGCUSAUUUAUAAGUAACACGUAAGGAACCUGCCUCAAGGAUUGKGAUAACUCCGAGAAAUCGGAGCUAAUACCGGAUAGUUCAACGGACCGCAUGGUCCGCUGAUGAAAGGCGCUCCGGCGUCACCUUGAGAUGGCCUUGCGGUGCAUUAGCUAGUUGGKGGGGUAACGGCCCACCAAGGCGACGAUGCAUAGCCGACCUGAGAGGGUGAUCGGCCMCACUGGGACUGAGACACGGCCCAGACUCCUACGGGAGGCAGCAGUAGGGAAUCUUCCACAAUGGACGAAAGUCUGAUGGAGCAACGCCGCGUGAGUGAUGAAGGUUUUCGGAUCGUAAAACUCUGUUGUAAGGSAAGAACACGUACGAGAGGGAAUGCUCGUACCUUGACGGUACCUUACGAGAAAGCCACGGSUAACUACGUGCCAGCAGCCGCGGUAAUACGUAGGUGGCAAGCGUUGUCCGGAAUUAUUGGGCGUAAAGMGCGCGCAGGCGGCCUUUUUARGUCUGAUGUGAAAGCCCCCGGCUCWACCCGGGGAGGGCCAUUGGGAAAACUGGAASGCUUGRGUACAGAAKAARAAGAAUGGAAUUYCCMCGUGKAGCGGUGAAAUGCGUAGAGAUGUGGAGGAAACACCRGUGGCGAAGSGACUCUUUGGUCUGUAAMUUGACGCUKGAGKCGCGAAAGCGUGGGGGAGCMAACAGGAUUARRAWACCCWGGKRKCCMCGCCGKMAACSAAKGAGUGCUAGGUGUUGGGGG
rnacentral:rRNA from 1 species